rnacentral:rRNA from 1 species
UACGUAGGGUGCGAGCGUUAAUCGGAAUUACUGGGCGUAAAGCGUGCGUAGGCGGUUCGCCGUGUCCUGUGUGAAAGCCCCGGGCUUAACCUGGGAAUGGCAUGGGAAACUGGCGGGCUGGAGUGUGGCAGAGGGGGGUGGAAUUCCGCGUGUAGCAGUGAAAUGCGUAGAGAUGCGGAGGAACACCGAUGGCGAAGGCAGCCCCCUGGGCCAACACUGACGCUCAGGCACGAAAGCGUGGGGAGCAAACAGGAUAAGAAAAC